rnacentral:rRNA from 1 species
GACGAACGCUGGCGGCGGGCCUAACACAUGCAAGUCGAGCGGAGCGGCGGAUGGGUGAGUAAUGUCUGGGAAACUGCCUGAUGGAGGGGGAUAACUACUGGAAACGGGCGCUAAUACCGCAUACUAUCAGAUGAGCCUAGGUCGGAUUAGCUAGUUGGUGGGGUAAAGACCGACAAAGGCGAUGAUCCGUAACUGGUCGGAGAGGAUGAUAAGUCACACUGGAAUUGAGACACGGUCCAGACUCCUACGGGAGGCAGCAGUGGGGAAUAUUGGACAAUGGGCGAAAGCCUGAUCCAGCCAUGCCGCGUGUGUGAAGAAGGUCGUCGGAUUGUAAAGCACUUUAAGUUGGGAGGCGUUACCAACAGAAUAAGCACCGGCUAACUUCGUGCCAGCCGCCGCGGUAAUUC